rnacentral:rRNA from 1 species
CAGCCGCCGCGGGAAUACGUAGGUGGCAAGCGUUGUCCGGAACUAUUGGGCGUAAAGGGCUCGCAGGCGGUUUCUUAAGUCUGAUGUGAAAGCCCCCGGCUCAACCGGGGAGGGUCAUUGGAAACUGGGAAACUUGAGUGCAGAAGAGGAGAGUGGAAUUCCACGUGCAGCGGUGAAAUGCGUAGAGAUGUGGAGGAACACCAGUGGCGAAGGCGACUCUCUGGUCUGUAACUGACGCUGAGGAGCGAAAGCGUGGGGAGCGAACAGGAUUAGAUACCCGCGUAGUCCCUGUCUCUUAUAC